AGCCCGUGGGGGCAGCCUUACACAUGCAGUCGAGCGGUAACAGGGGAAGCUUGCUUCCCGCUGACGAGCGGCGGACGGGUGAGUAAUGCUUAGGAAUCUGCCCAGUAGUGGGGGAUAGCCCGGGGAAACCCGGAUUAAUACCGCAUACGUCCUACGGGAGAAAGCAGGGGAUCUUCGGACCUUGCGCUAUUGGAUGAGCCUAAGUCGGAUUAGCUAGUUGGUGGGGUAAGGGCCUACCAAGGCGACGAUCCGUAGCUGGUCUGAGAGGAUGAUCAGCCACAUCGGGACUGAGACACGGCCCGAACUCCUACGGGAGGCAGCAGUGGGGAAUAUUGGACAAUGGGGGCAACCCUGAUCCAGCCAUGCCGCGUGUGUGAAGAAGGCUUUCGGGUUGUAAAGCACUUUCAGUAGGGAGGAAAACCUUAUGGCUAAUACCCAUGAGGCUUGACGUUACCUACAGAAGAAGCACCGGCUAACUCCGUGCCAGCAGCCGCGGUAAU
rnacentral:rRNA from 1 species